UGGAUCCAGACUUUGAUAUGGCUCAGGAUGAACGCUAGCUACAGGCUUAACACAUGCAAGUCGAGGGGCAGCAUGGUCUUAGCUUGCUAAGACUGAUGGCGACCGGCGCACGGGUGAGUAACACGUAUCCAACCUGCCGUCUACUCUUGGACAGCCUUCUGAAAGGAAGAUUAAUACAAGAUGGCAUCAUGAGUCCACAUGUUCACAUGAUUAAAGGUAUUCCGGUAGACGAUGGGGAUGCGUUCCAUUAGAUAGUAGGCGGGGUAACGGCCCACCUAGUCUUCGAUGGAUAGGGGUUCUGAGAGGAAGGUCCCCCACAUUGGAACUGAGACACGGUCCAAACUCCUACGGGAGGCAGCAGUGAGGAAUAUUGGUCAAUGGGCGAGAGCCUGAACCAGCCAAGUAGCGUGAAGGAUGACUGCCCUAUGGGUUGUAAACUUCUUUUAUAAAGGAAUAAAGUCGGGUAUGCAUACCCGUUUGCAUGUACUUUAUGAAUAAGGAUCGGCUAACUCCGUGCCAGCAGCCGCGGUAAUACGGAGGAUCCGAGCGUUAUCCGGAUUUAUUGGGUUUAAAGGGAGCGUAGAUGGAUGUUUAGGUCAGUUGUGAAAGUUUGCGGCUCAACCGUAAAAUUGCAGUUGAUACUGGAUAUCUUGAGUGCAGUUGAGGCAGGCGGAAUUCGUGGUGUAGCGGUGAAAUGCUUAGAUAUCACGAGGAACUCCGAUUGCGAAGGCAGCCUGCUAAGCUGCAACUGACAUUGAGGCUCGAAAGUGUGGGUAUCAAACAGGAUUAGAUACCCUGGUAGUCCACACGGUAAACGAUGAAUACUCGCUGUUUGCGAUAUACUGCAAGCGGCCAAGCGAAAGCGUUAAGUAUUCCACCUGGGGAGUACGCCGGCAACGGUGCAACUCAAAUGAAUUGACGGA
rnacentral:rRNA from 1 species